GAUGGCGCCCCAGUUUGAUGUUUCUUUUGAGUGUACAUACACAUAGAAAAACUUCAAGGCAACCUAACAACAGAACAAUAAAUAGUGAAAGUUGCCAUGGUUGGAAAUUACAAGUCGUGUGCAGUGAAAAUUUUUGAUGUUUUCCAUCACUCCUCUUACGUGAUUUUCGGCGUAGAUAUAUCUAAUGUAUUCGAUUUUGCGGCAAAGGAUAAUAAUCACCGAGAGUAAAUGUGGAAAGGCUAGACUUUCUGUGGUGUUGUGCGGAAUAUCAAGUAUACCUUAAUCUAUCAACCUCUUGAGAGAAUAUUAUCUGAUUUUUUGACCUGGCAGUCGUGGAAGCGAUAAAUUAAAAAAUUUGUCAGAUUGUCGAUUUCAUUCCUCAAUUUUGCAUCAGUGUGAAGUGUCAUUUAUUUAUUUCUAAUAUUAUCAAAUAAACGAAAAACGGAUAUGAUACAGUAUAAAACUAGGGACAGAUCACUUGUGAUGCAUUUUUAAAAAUCAGCGAAAUUAAAUGCAUUUCUCGAGUACUUUUUCAAAUGGACGUAAGUAAAGCGGCCCUUACACGUUCAAUAUUUUCGUCAAUACGAGUAUUGACGAUAUUGUUACAAUAUUUCAGUCCCGUUUGAAAUCCACAUCGUCAAUAUUUUUUUUUCUAUUACACGUACAAUACUUUUGUCAAUACACUCUAGUAUUGACAAAAAUAUUGAACGUGUAAGGCCCGCUUAACAUUGAGAGCCUCUCUUUGUUUACUUUCUCUUUCGUUUAUUACGACGUCAUUACAACACUUUGUACUAAUUUUCCAAUACAUAUCGAAAGCCGACGGUUUUUACUACAAUAUUAUGCAAAGAGUAGAGUAGUAAAUGUUGAAAUAGCCGAGUAAUGAACAGAAGAGAAAGACCUCAAAGAGAAUCUCUCAUUGUUACUUACGUCCAUUUGAAAAAGUACUCGAGAUUUAUUUCCAUCAAAAUAGAAAUUCAUAAUGUAUUUUGCGUUGCGUGCAAUGUCUUUUGAGUUGCGUGUAAGACGUCAAAACCCUACGAAAAAACUAGCCCUACAUUCCACAAAACGUCGAACAAAGUGGAUCAGCGUAGGACGUUUUUUGAACAAACUUUUCUGCAAGGGAGUGCAAAGUUGAUGCAAAAAUGAAAAUUAAAUGCAUUUUUUCUAAUUUGAUGCAAAUUUUUUAUACAUUCCUAGAGUGAUCUGCCCCUAGGUAUAAAAUAAUAUCGUAUGGCAUAUUUUCAUCAAAUCGCAAUCUCGAAUAUAUACCCAGGUAACCAACAAGCAUUAGUGUAUGCAGUAAAGUAGCGUAAAAUUUGCAUUUCGGAUGCUUCUUGCAGUACGAUAGCAUUCGUUAUGCAUAACUGUUGUUAAUCAGCAUUAAAAAAACUGGUUGAAAACUUCUUGCCAGUAAGCAGCGUUCUGAAUGCACAACAGCUACAGCAGUAAAAAAGCAUUUUCAUGGCACAGCAGUAAUGUAGCCGUAUAUUUUGCCAAAAGCGACUUUUAAAUUGGCUCUCAAACGUGAAACUUAUCCGGUCGACGCGCCAACUAGAUUUCAUUAUUGGUACCAGUCAAAUGAUGAUAAAAAUAUUUUCUUGCAUUGAUGAUGUAGGACGGCUGUACUAUUUUAAUUGUUUUAAGAUAAACAAUACAUAGUUCCACAAAAAAAUAAUUACAGGUGAUAAGAAAAAACUCGUUCUUUCGUUUGGCACCAAAACAUCGAGUUGAACUCGAUAUUUUAUUGCGAAUUAUUGUGAUCUGGAAUUAUUUUUGUGUUGUUGAGGUUAGGUCGCUUGUUUUAGAUACGGGAAAUGUUUACUUAUAAAUUGGAUUUAUCAGUGGAUAAUCUCGACUUUCGAUACCUGUACUCUUUAAUCCAGUGAUUUUCGCCCACUAUCGUGUUUUUAUUGAGAUUUCAAUCUCUAAAUUUCAUUUUAGCAUAAACUGAAACCGGAAGAACGAAUUCUUAGUGGUGUAUCAAGAAAUUUACCAUCAAGAUAUUUUUCAAACGUAGGAAACAUAUUUUCUUCAUCAAUUUUUCUUUUCAUUAGAUGAAAUCACAUUUGAUUACAAUUUUGAUUGAAUUUAUAAAUUUCAAAAUUUAAUUUUCAAUGUGUUUUGACAGUUGAAAAUAAAAACAUCAUCAUUGCACCAAAUACAAAUUUGUAUUUGCAUUUGAUUGCACUUUCAUGCCAUCUUGCGGUCUACAUCCAGCUUUAGAUCGCGAAUAGCAUUUAAAAAGACUUAAGUGCAUAUCAAGUAGCCGUUAAGACGCAUUCAGCAUGCUCAUUGGUUACCUGGGUAAUUUAGCAAAAUACACAAACGUGCCUUAGUGAAACAUCGCUAGUAGUUUGCUGCCCAUAUAAGCAUAAGAGUCCUAUAUGGAUUUUGUCGAAAAUGAGAUUUCUGUUGGAUUGUAUUCUUUAUCACCACUGAAUCAUGCACAAAUAAGAUUACCAGAUGUGUUCAGAAAAUAUUGAAAAAAAUACCAAAACAUGGUUGUCCCAUCCAUAAGGCUCAAUGAAAAAUGUAAAUCUUGAACAGCGUUUUUCUCGGCUUGCUGUUCUUCAAUAUGGGACUCUUUUGCAUAUAUGGGCAGUUUAGCUACUAUUCGUUUAUCCAUGAGUUUCAAAUCAGAAUAAUCCUUUCUUUGAUUCGAUGCCGAUAGUGGAUUACUGGUACCGGAAGUUUUGUACUAUUGCGCCCACACUAACGGCAAGGAAACAAAGUUCCUAUACUGAGUUAGCGCCGGUAUUACAUUCCUCGAAGAGAAAUACAGUAAUAAAGACAAGCUGCGUUUUUUGAGAAACAUACGAUCCAGUUAAUAGAAAUUUAUAACAAGCUCGUUUAUCAUUUUCGAAGUUGUACCACAGACUAACAGAUAUAACUCUAUGAGGGAAUUCCCUCAAAAAACAUCGAUCCGACAAUUUUCCCAGAACACUAGCUCCACCUUUUAUUCACAGUCCCAAACACUCAUUUACUGGUGGGUUACCCCUCAGGUUUGGGAACAAUUUUUCACUAGUGGUCUAUCCUCCAUAUGCUUGUUCAUAUGUCAGUGGCGCCAUAAUUUCAAACCACAGACUAACAGACAUAACACUCAAAAACAAAGCUUCGUCCACUUUAACGGUCAUUUUAAAUAUAUUUGUAGUUGGGACUGUGGUCACAUUUGAAAUUAUGGCGCCACUGACAUAUGAACAAGCAUAUGGAGGAUAGACCACUAGUGAAAAAUUGUUCUCAAACCUGAGGGGUAACCCACCAGUAAAUGAGUGUUUGGGACUGUGAAUAAAAGGUGGAGCUAGUGUUCUGGGAAAAUUGUCGGAUCGAUGUUUUUUGAGGGAAUUCCCUCAUAGUGUUAUGUCUGUUAGUCUGUGGUUGUACUCUCAAGUUCGAUUUGUAUUGAUAUUAUACCGAGCAAACGAAAGCCCAUAAUUCUCCCAUGCCCAUGGUCCGAAUUCACCCCCAUUGCAUGGUGUUUUGAUAAUGUUUGAAAUGGGUUUAGCAUAUGAAAACACCAUCAGCAUGGUCUGGUAUAUCAUAUUUUCUGGUUUAUUCAUGGGCUUUCAAGGCCAUUUUAUAGUGUUUUGAUGGUUGUGAAAUUUGCUACGGAUCAUAUUCAUGGCAUUUCUAUGGGGUUCAAUCAACGUGUUUGAACCCAUGAGAAUUUUACUCGGAUAUUUCGUAUUUUGAAUCUAAUCACGGACUGAUUCCUUAAUAAUUUGAAAAUAUCGUAUUCCAUACAAUAAAAAACGCGAACUCAAAAUAACCAGCUACAGCAACUACCGAAUUUGACAGAAUUCAUACAGUGUUCUAUUUUGCCCCUAUUUCCAUUUUCAUUUGAUUUCUAAUACAUUUUACUUUGUCUAAAAAUACUCUACACUUACAACAUAAACGAGAAAAAGCUUUCACUUGUCCAGCGUCAAGAGUAUCAGAAACCAGGAUUACUAAUGCUGCAGCUUCUGAACCGUCAGCUUCUUAUCUAUUAACAGAUAACCGACGCAGAAAAAUUGUGU